UAAGGGCGCACGGUGGAUGCCUUGGCACUAGAAGCCGAUGAAGGACGUUACUAACGACGAUAUGCUUUGGGGAGCUGUAAGUAAGCUUUGAUCCAGAGAUUUCCGAAUGGGGAAACCCAGCAUGAGUUAUGUCAUGUUAUCGAUAUGUGAAUACAUAGCAUAUCAGAAGGCACACCCGGAGAACUGAAACAUCUUAGUACCCGGAGGAAGAGAAAGAAAAUUCGAUUCCCUUAGUAGCGGCGAGCGAAACGGGAAGAGCCCAAACCAACAAGCUUGCUUGUUGGGGUUGUAGGACACUCUAUACGGAGUUACAAAGGACGACAUUAGACGAAUCAUCUGGAAAGAUGAAUCAAAGAAGGUAAUAAUCCUGUAGUCGAAAAUGUUGUCUCUCUUGAGUGGAUCCUGAGUACGACGGAGCACGUGAAAUUCCGUCGGAAUCUGGGAGGACCAUCU
rnacentral:rRNA from 1 species